UUGCUUCUUUGAUGACGAGUGGCGGACGGGUGAGUAAUGCUUGGGAAUCUAGCUUAUGGAGGGGGAUAACUACGGGAAACUGUAGCUAAUACCGCGUAAUAUCGAAAGAUUAAAGUGUGGGACCUUCGGGCCACAUGCCAUAAGAUGAGCCCAAGUGGGAUUAGGUAGUUGGUGAGGUAAAGGCUCACCAAGCCGACGAUCUCUAGCUGGUCUGAGAGGAUGACCAGCCACACUGGGACUGAGACACGGCCCAGACUCCUACGGGAGGCAGCAGUGGGGAAUAUUGCGCAAUGGGGGCAACCCUGACGCAGCCAUGCCGCGUGAAUGAAGAAGGCCUUCGGGUUGUAAAGUUCUUUCGGUAGCGAGGAAGGCAUUUAGUUUAAUAGACUAGAUGAUUGACGUUAACUACAGAAGAAGCACCGGCUAACUCCGUGCCAGCAGCCGCGGUAAUACGGAGGGUGCGAGCGUUAAUCGGAAUAACUGGGCGUAAAGGGCACGCAGGCGGUGACUUAAGUGAGGUGUGAAAGCCCCGGGCUUAACCUGGGAAUUGCAUUUCAUACUGGGUCGCUAGAGUACUUUAGGGAGGGGUAGAAUUCCACGUGUAGCGGUGAAAUGCGUAAAGAUGUGGAGGAAUACCGAAGGCGAAGGC
rnacentral:rRNA from 1 species